rnacentral:rRNA from 1 species
AGUGAACGCUGGCGGUAGGCCUAACACAUGCAGGUCGAACGGCAGCACAGGAGAGCUUGCUCUCUAGGUGGCGAGUGGCGGACGGGUGAGGAAUACAUCGGAAUCUGCACAGUCGUGGGGGAUAACGUAGGGAAACUUACGCUAAUACCGCAUACGACCUUCGGGUGAAAGAGGGGGGUCGCAAGACCUCUCGCGAUUGGAUGAGCCGAUGUCGGAUUAGCUAGUUAGCGGGGUAAUGGCCCACCAAGGCGACGAUCCGUAGCUGGUCUGAGAGGAUGAUCAGCCACACUGGAACUGAGACACGGUCCAGACUCCUACGGGAGGCAGCAGUGGGGAAUAUUGGACAAUGGGCGCAAGCCUGAUCCAGCCAUACCGCGUGGGUGAAGAAGGCCUUCGGGUUGUAAAGCCCUUUUGUUGGGAAAGAAAUCUUUCAGGCUAAUACCCUGGGAGGAUGACGGUACCCAAAGAAUAAGCACCGGCUAACUUCGUG